GUGUCAGCCGCCGCGGUAAUACCAGCACCCCGAGUGGUCGGGACGAUUAUUGGGCCUAAAGCAUCCGUAGCCGGUCCUGCAAGUCCUCCGUUAAAUCCACCCGCUCAACGGUUGGGCCGCGGGGGAUACUACAGGGCUAGGAGGCGGGAGAGGCAAGCGGUACUCGAUGGGUAGGGGUAAAAUCCACUGAUCCAUUGAAGACCACCAGUGGCGAAGGCGGCCUGCCAGAACGCGCUCGACGGUGAGGGAUGAAAGCUGGGGGAGCAAACCGGAUUAGAUACCCGGGUAGUCCCAGCUGUAAACGAUGCAGACUCGGUGAUGGGCUGGCUUCGUGCCAACCCGGUGCCGCAGGGAAGCCGUUAAGUCUGCCGCCUGGGGAGUACGGUCGCAAGACUGAA
rnacentral:rRNA from 1 species